AUGAACGCUAGCGGCAGGCUUAACACAUGCAAGUCGAGGGGCAGCAUAAUGGAUAGCAAUAUCUAUGGUGGCGACCGGCGCACGGGUGCGUAACGCGUAUGCAACCUACCUUUAACAGGGGGAUAACACUGAGAAAUUGGUACUAAUACCCCAUAAUAUCAUAGAAGGCAUCUUUUAUGGUUGAAAAUUCCGAUGGUUAGAGAUGGGCAUGCGUUGUAUUAGCUAGUUGGUGGGGUAACGGCUCACCAAGGCGACGAUACAUAGGGGGACUGAGAGGUUAACCCCCCACACUGGUACUGAGACACGGACCAGACUCCUACGGGAGGCAGCAGUGAGGAAUAUUGGUCAAUGGACGCAAGUCUGAACCAGCCAUGCCGCGUGCAGGAUGACGGCUCUAUGAGUUGUAAACUGCUUUUGUACGAGGGUAAACGCAGAUACGUGUAUCUGUCUGAAAGUAUCGUACGAAUAAGGAUCGGCUAACUCCGUGCCAGCAGCCGCGGUAAUACGGAGGAUUCAAGCGUUAUCCGGAUUUAUUGGGUUUAAAGGGUGCGUAGGCGGUUUGAUAAGUUAGAGGUGAAAUUUCGGGGCUCAACCCUGAACGUGCCUCUAAUACUGUUGAGCUAGAGAGUAGUUGCGGUAGGCGGAAUGUAUGGUGUAGCGGUGAAAUGCUUAGAGAUCAUACAGAACACCGAUUGCGAAGGCAGCUUACCAAACUAUAUCUGACGUUGAGGCACGAAAGCGUGGGGAGCAAACAGGAUUAGAUACCCUGGUAGUCCACGCAGUAAACGAUGAUAACUCGUUGUCGGCGAUACACAGUCGGUGACUAAGCGAAAGCGAUAAGUUAUCCACCUGGGGAGUACGUUCGCAAGAAUGAAACUCAAAGGAAUUGACGGGGGCCCGCACAAGCGGAGGAACAUGUGGUUUAAUUCGAUGAUACGCGAGGAACCUUACCCGGGCUUAAAUUGCAGAUGAAUUACGGUGAAAGCCGUAAGCCGCAAGGCAUCUGUGAAGGUGCUGCAUGGUUGUCGUCAGCUCGUGCCGUGAGGUGUCGGGUUAAGUCCCAUAACGAGCGCAACCCCUACCGUUAGUUGCCAUCAGGUGAAGCUGGGCACUCUGGCGGGACUGCCGGUGUAAGCCGAGAGGAAGGUGGGGAUGACGUCAAAUCAGCACGGCCCUUACGUCCGGGGCUACACACGUGUUACAAUGGUAGGUACAGAGGGCAGCUACCCAGCGAUGGGAUGCGAAUCUCGAAAGCCUAUCUCAGUUCGGAUUGGAGGCUGAAACCCGCCUCCAUGAAGUUGGAUUCGCUAGUAAUCGCGCAUCAGCCAUGGCGCGGUGAAUACGUUCCCGGGCCUUGUACACACCGCCCGUCAAGCCAUGGGAGCCGGGGGUGCCUGAAGUUCGUGACCGCAAGGAGCGACCUAGGGCAAAACUGGUGACUGGGGCU
rnacentral:rRNA from 1 species